rnacentral:tRNA from 1 species
GAGAGGUUUAGAAGACCUGCUAACUUUUC